UCCAGAAGGGUUAGAAUGGUCCAGCCUAUUCAGGUGAACGUUUCCACUGCAAGUCGGACAGCCAGGGGGCAUGCGGGAUUUUGACCAAAUGCCUAGCGUGUCAUGUGUUGUGAGCAUUAACGUUUUCCUGUCUGCCAAUCAACUGAUGUAUGGUGUGAUGGCAGUAGCUACGCCCUAACCGUACCGUACCAUUUCCUAAGGACCUACAUCUGAAGGGGGCCCUGGAAUGGUAUGGUUGGGUUCGGCUGUAUGGGCCACUUUCAUAAUGGAAACACUCAAAAUAGCAUACCAGACCGUAUCUGCCCGAACCGCUCAGUGGAAACGAGGCAUUAGAUUACAUUGAAGAUACACAUAGAGACAACUCAUGUGCAACAUUUC